AAUCUAGCUGGAUGCCUAACACAUGCAAGUCGAACGAGAAGCAUUCUUCGGAAUGUGGAAAGUGGCGCACGGGUGAGUAAUACAUGGGAAUCUACCUUACACUGGGGGAUAACAGUUAGAAAUGACUGCUAAUACCGCAUACGCCAUAUUGGGAAAGCUCCGGCGGUGUAAGAUGAGCCCAUGCUAGAUUAGCUAGUUGGUGAGGUAAAAGCUCACCAAGGCAACGAUCUAUAGCGGGUUUGAGAGGAUGAUCCGCCACACUGGUACUGAGACACGGACCAGACUCCUACGGGAGGCAGCAGUGGGGAAUAUUGCGCAAUGGGGGCAACCCUGACGCAGCAAUGCCGCGUGAGUGAUGACGGUCUUAGGAUUGUAAAGCUCUUUUAGCAGGGAAGAUAAUGACGGUACCUGCAGAAGAAGUCCCGGCUAACUCCGUGCCAGCAGCCGCGGUAAUACGGAGGGGGCAAGCGUUGUUCGGAAUUACUGGGCGUAAAGGGUCCGUAGGUGGUUUUGUAAGCUAGAUGUGAAAGCCCGGGGCUCAACCUCGGAACUGCAUUUAGAACUGCAUCACUAGAGUCACAGAGAGGGUAGUGGAAUUUCCAGUGUAGGAGUGAAAUCCGUAGAUAUUGGAAGGAACACCAGAGGCGAAGGCGACUACCUGGCUGUGUACUGACACUGAGGGACGAAAGCGUGGGGAGCAAACAGGAUUAGAUACCCUGGUAGUCCACGCCGUAACGAUGAGUGCUCGCUGACGGGAUCUUCGAUCUCGGUGGCUAAGCUAACGCAUUAAGCACUCCGCCUGGGGAGUACGGUCGCAAGAUUAAAACUCAAA
rnacentral:rRNA from 1 species